GAAUCCCGUCUUUGACACGGACUACCAGGGCUUUGUGAUGUGCUCUCAAAGAGUCGAGUUGUUUGGGAAUGCAGCUCUAAAUGGGUGGUAAAUUCCAUCUAAAGCUAAAUAUUGGCGAGAGACCGAUAGCGAACAAGUACCGUGAGGGAAAGAUGAAAAGAACUUUGGAAAGAGAGUUAAACAGUACGUGAAAUUGUUGAAAGGGAAACGCUUGAAGUCAGUCGCGUUGGCCGGGGAUCAACCUUGCUCUUUUGCUUGGCGUACUUUCCGGUUGACGGGUCAGCAUCAAUUUUGACCGAUGGAUAAAGGUCAGGGGAAUGUGGCAUCUUCGGAUGUGUUAUAGCCCUUGGUCGCAUACAUCGGUUGGGAUUGAGGAACUCAGCACGCCGCAAGGCCGGGUCUUUGACCACGUACGUGCUUAGGAUGCUGGCAUAAUGGCUUUAAUCGACCCGUCUUGAAACACGGACCAAGGAGUCUAACAUGCCCGCGAGUGUUUGGGUGGAAAACCCGGACGCGUAAUGAAAGUGAAAGUUGAGAUCCCUGUCGUGGGGAGCAUCGACGCCCGGACCAGACCUUUUGUGACGGUCCCGCGGUAGAGCGUGUAUGUUGGGACCCGAAAGAUGGUGAACUAUGCCUGAAUAGGGUGAAGCCAGAGGAAACUCUGGUGGAGGCUCGUAGCGAUUCUGACGUGCAAAUCGAUCGUCAAGUGUGGGUAUAGGGGCGAAAGACUAAUCGAACCAUCUAGUAGCUGGUUCCUGCC
rnacentral:rRNA from 1 species